rnacentral:rRNA from 1 species
GAUGAACGCUGGCGGCGUGCCUAAUACAUGCAAGUCGAGCGAACAGACGAGGAGCUUGCUCCUCUGACGUUAGCGGCGGACGGGUGAGUAACACGUGGAUAACCUACCUAUAAGACUGGGAUAACUUCGGGAAAGCGGAGCUAAUACCGGAUAAUAUAUUGAACCGCAUGGUUCAAUAGUGAAAGACGGUUUUGCUGUCACUUAUAGAUGGAUCCGCGCCGCAUUAGCUAGUUGGUAAGGUAACGGCUUACCAAGGCAACGAUGCGUAGCCGACCUGAGAGGGUGAUCAGCCACACUGGAACUGAGACACGGUCCAGACUCCUACGGGAGGCAGCAGUAGGGAAUCUUCCGCAAUGGGCGAAAGCCUGACGGAGCAACGCCGCGUGAGUGAUGAAGGUCUUCGGAUCGUAAAACUCUGUUAUUAGGGAAGAACAAAUGUGUAAGUAACUAUGCACGUCUUGACGGUACCUAAUCAGAAAGCCACGGCUAACUACGUG